GACUACGACUGGAAGACCAUGGAAGGGGACGGGCGCUGACCUGCCGGGAGACCCAGUGGAACGGUGGCUGGAGGAGACGGCCGCGGGGAAGGAGCAGGAGAUAAUUUUGAGGAGGCCAUGAUCUCUGCUCAGCAUGAUCUCCGGGGAAUCAGCUCUGGAGUCUGGCUGUGACUUUGAAGACCAUUUCUUCUGAAAGGGCAGAAAAAGGCCUGAAAGAGAAGAACUAGACAUUUGCAACAGGUUUGACACAUGGCAGAUACUUGAAGUUUCUACAGAAUCAAAGGCCUGACCAGUAAAUUGUGAAAAUUGCCUUCUUGGUUGAUGUUUUAGAAAAUGAAAGUCUUAUUGCUCCAGUGUGUAGGAAGGUGACUCUCAAAUCACUAGAAAUCUCUUAAAGCCAUACUUGUUGGGACAGGAAGAGUGCUCCAGAGAUACAAUGGUACCUGCAGGAAGUGCCUAACUACAAUCAUAAGGAAACACUGAUCAAAUAUUUACUGUGUUCCAAGUACUCUAUGAAGUGCACACAACACAUUAUCUUACUUAAUCUCCAUAACAAACCUAUAAGGUAGGUUCCAUUAUUUUGCUCAUUUUACAGAGGAAGAAAUUGAGAGUCAGAGGAGUAAAGACACUUUCCCAAGGUCAUAUGGCUCUUAGGUGGGAAGAUUGGGACUCACCUUCCAUGACCAGCAUGGAGCCCAACGCAGUGGGGCCUGAACACGUGACCCCAAGAUGAAGACCUGAGUUCAGAGCAAGAGUUGGUCGUUCAACCACCUGAGCCACCCAGGGGCCCUCAGCCAGUAUCUUUUGACUUUAUUAUAAUCAGUUUGCUGUAACGGGCCCCUGGCUAGAGACCAGGGUAGACUGUGACAUAAUAAGAAAUAUAUAUCUGGUCUCUGCCCCUGGUUUCUGACACAGAGCUCCUCAAUCUCUUGGAAUUUCCUUGGUAAUGGGAAGGGUCUUUUGUUCUAAAGAGUUGGAUUUUGUGGGCUCCUAGGAAGCUUCAGGAUGGAAGCUGGUCAUCAGAAAGGCCAAGCUAUAAUUAGAAGAUUUUAGCCCCACCCCUGCCAUCCUCCAGGGAGGAGAAGGGAUGGAGAUUGAGCCAAUAAUCCAUCAUGUCUACUUGAUAAAGCCUCCAUAAAAAUCCCCAAACUAUGGGGCUCAGAAAGCUUCCAGGUUGGUGCACACAUACAUCUCAGGAGGGUGGACACCACAGCUCCACAGGGACAGAAGCUCCCGCACUUGGGACCCUUCUGACCCUUGCCCUGUGUACAUCUUCAUCUGGAUCAUCAUCAUCUGUAUCCUUUCCUAUAUCUUUUAUAAUAAACUGGUAAACAUGUCCCCCAGGAUUAUAUGAGCCAUUGUAACAAAUGAUCAAACCUGAAGAGGGGACAAUGGGAACCGCUGAUUUGUGGCCAAGACUGACAAAAGCCUGGGUAACCCGGAGACCCCCUACUGUGAGUAGUGUCUGAAGUGGGGGGUGGUCUUAUGGGGCUGAGCCCUUAAUCUGUGGUAUCUGUGCCAAAUCCAGGGAGGUAAGGUCAGAAUUGGUUGGUGUGGAGAACCCGUGCAUUUGGUAG